CGGCCUUCUUUUGCACCCGAGGAGGAUUCGCAUCCCUGGAUGUCCGAGAGAUAAGUUGAGGGGAUGCAAGCGGGGUGUCGGGUCGGGGCUCGCCGGGAGGGAAUAUUGAGUCAGCUUCAGAGAUGGGGAUGUCUAAGAAGGGGCCCCUUUAGGGCCCCUAAAGGGCAAGUCUCCCUUUCGAUCACAGCGCUGAGGCGUGCCAGGCAGAGCAGUCCCAGUGCACGUUGUGCAGCUUGUCUAUUGUGUGUUCUGUCUCUACUGGGUGUCUCGUGUCUUCUGCUUUAGCCCUUCGAUGGGCCUGCGGUCAUUCUUCUCACCGAGAGUUUUCUCUCCUCGUUGCUUCCCCGCAUUUGUCAUCUGCUGUAUCACGGGUGCCUGUGUGGGUUUUCUCUGGAGCUGCUCUGCCCUGCUGCACCGUCUGGCAUAUAGGUGUAAUAGGACAGGGCCCAGGGACUUGAAGUUUGUAAUGUAGGGUGUAGUUUGACCUCAAGGUGGUAUUCCUAGAUUGACACAGGAUGGCUGGAGCUAUUAAGAUCCUAUGCAUCGCUUUGAUUUUUGUCAUCACUUUCUUUCAGAUGCAGACAGAUUAAAUCCGUGGCAGAGCACCCCACACCGGGUGAGGGGGUUCCCGCAGGAAGGAGGUCAAGCCGGAUCGCAGCAGUCAAAAUGAAGUGAGCAAGGUGGUCUGCUUGUAUUCUCCGAGCCUCCUUGCUGCCAGACCUGCCUCGCCACCCUUGUGAGCCCUCUGAAAAUAUUAUGGGACUAUUCGACCAAGCCUUCACCUUUUCCGUUCGAAGGGUCUUUCUGAGCAGCCUUUGGCAACGGCUGGGGAGUUGCAUCGAGUCAGGGAGGGGGAGGAGGAGUGAGGGUCUGCUCAAGUCUCAGCAAUGUCGCAUCACCUUGUCUCCUCCUAAUCCAGGUAUACCUUGCAAUGACAGUGUCAGUAUCGGAGCGUGGCCAAAGCGUACGGCCCGAGGACCCUGGCCCUAUUAGGAGACGUCGACUAAGAGAGAACAGCCCGAUGACAGCGGGAGCUUCUCGGAUGGCGAGGCGGCCUUCUUUUGUGCCCGAGGCAGACGUCUGAGAGAUAAGUCAAGGCUUGUGACCCACAGAUGGGCUGACAGCAGAGUGUUGAGUUGGGACUCGCCAGGAGGGAUUUUUGAGUCAGAUUUGGAGGUGGGGAUACCCAAGAAGGGGACCCUUAGGCCAACAUAAAG